GACGAACGCCGGCGGCGUGCCUAAUACAUGCAAGUCGAGCGCAGGAAGCUGACGGAACUCUUCGGAGGGAAGGCAGUGGAAUGAGCGGCGGACGGGUGAGUAACACGUAAGGAACCUGCCUCAAGGAUUGGGAUAACUCCGAGAAAUCGGAGCUAAUACCGGAUAGUUCAACGGACCGCAUGGUCCGCUGAUGAAAGGCGCUCCGGCGUCACCUUGAGAUGGCCUUGCGGUGCAUUAGCUAGUUGGUGGGGUAACGGCCCACCAAGGCGACGAUGCAUAGCCGACCGGAGAGGGUGAUCGGCCACACUGGGACUGAGACACGGCCCAGACUCCUACGGGAGGCAGCAGUAGGGAUUCUUCCACAAUGGACGAAAGUCUGAUGGAGCAACGCCGCGUGAGUGAUGAAGGUUUUCGGAUCGUAAAACUCUGUUGUAAGGGAAGAACACGUACGAGAGGAAAUGCUCGUACCUUGACGGUACCUUACGAGAAAGCCACGGCUAACUACGUGCCAGCCGCCGCGGUAAUAC
rnacentral:rRNA from 1 species